rnacentral:misc_RNA from 1 species
AACGCACCUUGCACCCUUUGGUAUUCCGAAGGGUACACCCGUUUGAGUGUCAUUGUAAUCUCACUCCACCAGCUAUUUGUUGAUGGAUGUGGACUUGGACUCUGUUGUGUUACUACAACUGGUCUGAAAUGCAUGAGUGCACCCUGCUAUUGCAGCGUUUUCAGUGUGAUAAGCAUCUUCACUGGACCAAGCUCCCUUGGGACACGCAGCAUUGUGGGCUCUGUGCUGGCAAACUGUCUUUGGACAACUUUGACAAUUUGACCUCAGAUCGGGUGGGACUACCCGCUGAACUUAA